rnacentral:rRNA from 1 species
CCUACGGGUGGCAGCAGUGAGGAAUAUUGGUCAAUGGACGGAAGCCUGAACCAGCCAUGCCGCGUGCAGGAAGACGGCUCUAUGAGUUGUAAACUGCUUUUGUACAAGGGUAAACCUGAACACGUGUAUUCAGCUGAAAGUACUGUACGAAUAAGGAUCGGCUAACUCCGUGCCAGCAGCCGCGGUAAUACGGAGGAUCCAAGCGUUAUCCGGAUUUAUUGGGUUUAAAGGGUGCGUAGGCGGGUUGUUAAGUUAGAGGUGAAAUGUUCGAGCUUAACUCGGGAAGUGCCACUAAUACUGGUGAUCUAGAGAGUAGAUGCGGUAGGCGGAAUGUAUGGUGUAGCGGUGAAAUGCUUAGAGAUCAUGCAGAACACCGAUUGCGAAGGCAGCUGACCAAUCUAUAUCUGACGUUGAGGCACGAAAGCGUGGGGAGCAAACAGGAUUAGAUACCCGUGUAGUC